UCUCUGUUUAAACAGUUGCUGCAAACAAUUGGAACAGGUGCAAUUUGAAUUGUUUUCUUUUGCCAACAGAUCAUAAUUUUAGACCUUAGUCAAUUGCAUGACGUGUGCGUGCUUAGUUCAUAAUAGCAAAAAUUAAUAUCUCUUUGAAAUUAUAAAAUGUGCCGUAAUUGUUAGCACGCAACCAAAACACUAAAUAGGUUUUAUUGCAGAAAAAACUAAGAAUAUUGCCUGCGCUUUCAAAAAUAGAAGGGUCUUUCUGCAAAUCUUAAACAGUCCACUAUAAUAUUUCAACAUCAGAAUGCGGACACGACAUUUAUUAAGAGAAGGACACCGUAAAGUCUUCACAGUUGUCGUAGGAUUGUUUGUAACCUGUUGCCUGGUUAAGCUUUACUCUUCGCCGCUUCGCAUCGAUACUUUUGAUACCUUUAUUGCAAACAAUCAACAUUCCCAAAUUGAUCCAAAAUAUGACUCCGAGCCAUAAAGUGAACCCGUAUCAAAUGAAGAUCUUAAUUUAAGCAAGUCAGACUUCAAGAAUAAGAUAAAUUUAACAUUUAUAUAAUUGACAUUAUAUACAUACAAUUAAGUAAAUACAAGAAUAGGACUAGAAGAUAUCCUACAAUUAA